rnacentral:rRNA from 1 species
UACGUAGGGUGCGAGCGUUGUCCGGAAUUAUUGGGCGUAAAGAGCGUGUAGGCGGCCAGAUAAGUCCGCUGUGAAAUCUCGAGGCUCAACUUCGAGCUGUCGGUGGAAACUAUCUGGCUAGAGUCCGGAAGAGGAGAAUGGAAUUCCUGGUGUAGCGGUGAAAUGCGCAGAUAUCAGGAGGAACACCGGUGGCGAAGGCGGCUUGCUGGGCCAGUUCUGACGCUGAGGAGCGAAAGCGUGGGGAGCGAACAGG